UACGUAGGUGGCAAGCGUUGUCCGGAUUUACUGGGCGUAAAGAGCGCGCAGGCGGUCGAUCAAGUCGCGUGUGAAAGCCCCCGGCUCAACUGGGGAGGGUCACGCGAUACUGAUCGACUCGAAGGCAGGAGAGGGUAGUGGAAUUCCCGGUGUAGUGGUGAAAUUCGUAGAUAGUUCGGAAGAACACCAGUGCGAAGGCGACUUACUGGACGAUUGUUGACGCUGAGGUGCGAAAGCGUGGGGAGCAACAGG
rnacentral:rRNA from 1 species